rnacentral:rRNA from 1 species
UACUAGAGUAGCACUCGCAUAUCAAUAAGCGGAGGAAAAGAAACUAACAAGGACUUCCCCUAGUAACGGCGAGUGAAGCGGGAAGAGCUCAAAUUUGAAAUCUUAAAGGGUUUCCCUUUACGAAUUGUAGUUUAAAGAAGUGUUUUCUGUUGAGGUUUUGGUAAAAGUUCUUUGGAAUAGGACAUCAUAGAGGGUGAGAAUCCCGUAUUUGACCUUUACUUUCAACUUUGUGAUACACUUUCAAAGAGUCGGAUUGUUUGGGAAUGCAGUCCAAAAUGGGUGGUAAAUUUCAUCUAAAGCUAAAUAUUGGCGAGAGACCGAUAGCGAACAAGUACCGUGAGGGAAAGAUGAAAAGAACUUUGAAAAGAGAGUUAAACAGUACGUGAAAUUGUCAAAAGGGAAGCGUUUGACACCAGUGUUGUUUUUCUGAAAAUCAAUUAAAGAACUGUUUAUGCUAAGUUGUUUAGACUUUAUCAGCUAACUGUUUAGUUUUGAGCUUUUCUUUAAUGCACUUUUCAGUUAACAAGUCAACAUCAAUUUCUUUUGCUGUAAAAAAGCUUGAGGAAGGUGGCUUGAGAUUCGUCUUAAGUGUUUAUAGCCUCUUGCCUAUGCAGUCGGAGAGAUUGAGGUCUGCAGCGUAGAUCCUUCGGGGCUAAAUGCAUUUGUGCUAAGUUAUAGCAUUUUAUAGACAACUUGUUGACUAUGAUUUGUCUUGUAGCUUACUCGCUUAUGUUAUUUUACCUACGCUUAGGAUGUUGAGCGCAUGUCUCUCUCU